rnacentral:piRNA from 1 species
UGGCUGCAGACUGCAGCAUGAGGACUG